rnacentral:lncRNA from 1 species
GUUGGCAAAAUUGAAUUUAAGCAAAAGAAAAAUUAGCAAAAUGAAAUAAUUAUGACUAAAUUGACAUCCGUACAAUAAACUUAGAGCUUUUUUUUGGUAAUUAUGCUGCCAUUUAUGUGUAUAGGAUUUGUUGCCUGAAUGAUGUUCCUCUUUUGGACAUAUUUCAAUAAUUGAAUCCCAUUACAUCUUCUUUCUCUCAAGCAAUUCACUUUCUAUUAGAUGUGAAUGUUAGCACAGAGAAUUGCUUGGGUAUCAUGCAGAUGGAUGUUUUAUCAAGAAGAAUCUUUUUUUCGUAGUUCCGUUUCCGGUUUGUUAUCACGUCCAAUCUUCCCAAGCUUUUAGAUAUGCAAUAACUCGCUUCUGUUUCAUUGCGCUGAGCACCUUUUUUAAUCAGCUGAACCCUCCUGUUCACAGCCACAUGCUUUAGACUUAUUAUUUCUGCUAUAUCGUAUCUACUUAGCUCAGUUUCUUAUCCUACCGAAUUCAUUAAUGAAAUGUGCCGAGGCAAAAUUUCAUACUCUUUGCGAGUAAUAGGGAUCAGAGUUACUGUGGUUUCCCAUAUAGGCAAAUUUAAGGACAAAAUUAUGUUCGUCCCUAUCUCGAAGAAGCCCAACCUGACAGACAUUGUCCAGAAAAUGUAUCAACACAAUCGUUUAGAGGUACCCAAGAUUAAAUCAGAAGAGGGUGCAGUUUAUUGCUUGCAGCAGCUGCUCAAGAAAAUAGGACAAAGUCCUGUGUUGCUCGUGCUGGACGAUGUCUGGAAAGAAUCGGAAUCCAUAGUUGACAAAUUUGUCUGCGAUGAUAACAAAGAUUACAAAAUCGUGGUGACAUCAAGAUAUGAGUUUCCUCAUAUCCAUUCUGUGCAUCACCUGAACCCACUGACUCAUGACGAAGCUGUGGAACUUUUUCGUCGAUGUGUUACUGUUGAUGAUAGAAGCACGCGUCCACCAGAUACUCAGCUCUUGAAUGAGGUACGCUCUCGCUUGCGCUCAUCAAUUAUAGGACUUCGCAUGGUCAUCGAAACUCUGGGUUAAUUUUUUCUUUAAAGAAUAUGUUUAAUAAAAUCAAACCUGCCUAUCCCUACUUUCAACUCUCUUUCAAAGAGAGGCCUUGCUUAGUGCUAUAUCAAGUUCCGACAAUUACUGUAUUUUUUUUUACCGUGGCAGAUAGUGGAACACUGUAAGCGAUUGCCAUUGGUUAUUAAAGUCGUUGCCAAGUCUCUCCGAGGAAAGAAUUAUGCAUUCUGGAAAAAAAAGCUUCAUGAAUUGUCCGAAGGUCAUUCCCUUCUUGAUUUGGAGACCGAGAUUCUAGCUUGCCUCAGAAAGAGCUUGGACGAUUUGGAUGGUGUCCCUUUGAUCAAGAAAUGUUUCAUGGACCUCGGCUCGUUCCCGGAGGAUUGCAAGAUCCCCGCCACUGCCCUUAUUGAUAUGUGGGUGCAAUUGUACAAGCUAGGUUUCGAUGGUGUUUACGCUGCUACUUACCUCCAUGAACUCGAUUACAGGAACCUAGCUGAUCUCGUAUUACCCAGGUAUUGCACUGAAGUUCAUUUUGUUCUCUUAACCAACUUUUCUAGUUUUCUACUACCGUGAGAUUUCCUCAUCAGAUUCUAGUCGGCAUAUAAUUAGUUUUUUAUUUUUAUUUUUAUACGUGAUAGAAUGCGUGUGAAAUGGACAAAUGCAUGAUGAGAUCUUUGCACCAAGAUCGAUAGAGUAAUUUAUGCCAUUUGAUGACCUGUAUCUAACCCCAAAAUCAUUAGAUUUUUCAUAGCGCUAUGAACUAUUCUAUUCCCAAAAAAGGGCAUUCUACACGUUUUGAAUCCACACCCCAGUUACUGCGCCUACCUUCAGCUGCAGUGUGUUCCGCAGUGCAACGGUCAAAUGGUUUAUACAUAGGCCUCUAAAGAACAUUUCUAAGUCCUCACUUAACUUCUCAAGAGUGGGAAAGAUCAAUGUCUUCUUUUUCUGUUAAAUUGAUAUUAUCAAAUGCAUGGUCAUGGCGCUAGAAUUUAGCUCAAGAAACUCUAGUGCAAAUGCUUAUAUCCAAGUGUUUGAUUGCAUACAUACAGGAGAGAUUCAAGAGAUGACGACGAAUCUUACCGUAACCACUAUGUUAUGCAGCAUGAUCUGCUUAGAGAGCUAGCUAUCAUGGAGUGCAACCAGGGGGAAGUAAUGAACAGAGAGAGACUCAUUCUAGACUUGAUGGGAAAUAACUUUCCCAAUUGGUGGAGAGAGCAAAAGCAACAGCCUCUCUGUGCUCGUCUAGUGUCCAUCUCCACAGGUUUGUAAUUGUCCCUCUCUCAAAGAUCUACAAGGAAAAAUUCAUUUGGUUGGUAGUUAGUUACCUUCUAACCUUCUUUGAUCAUAACGCAGAUGGAAAAUUCUCAACACCCUGGCCAAAUCUCGAAUUGCCUGUAGUUGAGGCUCUUGUCUUGAAUUUUCGGACCAACAUGCAAACCAAAACCUAUGCUUUGCCUGAAUUCAUCGCAAAUUCCCCCAUGCUCAAGACCUUGAUAGUAACAAACUACAGCUUCUUUUCCGUUGAGCUGGGCAACUUCCAUGUCAUUGGGUCCAAUUUAAGGAGGAUCAGGUUUGAGCGUGUCACGGUUCCAUUCCUAAGCAUGGGAAAAUUAUGCUUGCAUGAUUUAGAAAAGAUAUCAUUUUUCAUGUGCGACAUUAGUCAGGCUUCGACGUCGACCAAUGCCAAAAUCUCAGAUGCAAUGCCAAACUUAAAGGAGCUCGACAUGGACUAUUGCAACGAUCUUGUGAGAUUACCAGAUGACAUCUGUGAGAUAAAGCCUUUACAGAAGCUUAGCAUCACAAAUUGCCAUAAUUUCUCUGCUCUCCCCGAACAAAUUGGGCAAUUAGCAUAUCUUGAAGUGGUUCGGCUUAAUUCUUGCACAGCCUUGUCACGGUUACCAGACUCAAUUAGAAGCCUACAAAAUCUGAGACUUCUCGAUAUACCUGAAUGCCUGAAUCUGACCGCAUUGCCUGAUCAAAUUGGUCAUAUGGUUAGUCUCUAUAGGAUAAACAUGAGAGGAUGUUUGAAGUUGUCUGGAUUGCCAAAGUCAAUUGUAAAGUUGAGGAACUUAAGGAAGGUGGUUUGUGAGGAAGAAAAAGCUGUCCUGUGGGGUCCUCUUAAGAACACUCUCUCUCAAUUGGACAUAACUCUCUUUGAAGAAGAACCCAACUUAGAUUGGCUUGAGUGACCAAGGUAAUGACAUCGAUGGUAUGUGGAAUUUUUAUCAAAUAUUGAAGGUCGUCUUUACACUUUUUCAUAUUGAUGUGGACCGAUCAAUCAUAUUCUUUUCUAAUAUUUUCUUAAGCCACAUUCAUGCUUGCACCUAGAUAAUUUACUUCUCUAUGACUAUUGAGGAUCCUAGGGUCGAAUUGGCCUGGAUUAACAAGAUCGAUUGAUUUUGACUCCUUUAUUUGUAAACUCGAAAAACACUCACGCUUUGUUCACCACGCCAGGUCUUAAGACUCUUAGGGAAGGGUCUUAAUGAGCUAACCACUAAAGUGGCGCAAUGCCAAACGCUAACGGCGCACUUGCUCUCCUAACUCCACGGCAAAGCGAGGCAUCUACUCAUAUGAAUGUGCGUACGUACACAGAGAGAAGGGUUGGAUUGGGGUAAAGUGACUAUGAUGUGGUGGUUUGUUGGGGCCUUCGAUUGCCCAGAGGAGGUCAACACCUUCUCAAUUCCUUAAGGUAUAAAAUGUUUUAACUUUAUCAUAAUUUUCAUAUCCCGUCCAAUCGAAAAAUUAUCUUGCUCUUUAUUUCUUGAAUUUACAUUAUAAAUUAUAUUCAUAGUAUCUGACCUCGUCCAAUAUAUUCGAAAUACACCACCAACCUCCUAAUAGUAGAAUCUGUAUUUUUACCAUCAACAUCGAAUACUCACUUUUAAUUUUAAAGGUCACAUGGUUGGUUAAAAUGCUUUUUAAUUUUCAGUGAGAUCUACUAAGUUUACCAUAAAACCUAUGGAAAUCAUUGUUGAAUUGGAUUGCAGUGCACAAAAAUAAAACAAUCCAUUCAUGAUACGAAGAAGAUUAAACCUUGGCUGUCAUAUUGUUAACUAAACGUCUUGGGCUAACCGUGAUAAAUGGGUCGUUCUAAAAUUACGCAACCUAAUUUCAUUCAUUCUUUUUCAACUUUUCCCUCGCAGGGCAACUUGCGACGAGGUCAACGACUAACGACAUGUCUUCUUCAACGCCUAACGUCAUAUAAUAAAGGAGUACCUCAGGGAGGCCCCCAAUGGCCGCCCCUAGUAGGAAACUUCCCGGAUGAUUACCAACAUAUUCGGCCCGAGAAUAAACUUCCACGACCGCAAGCUACCGCUUUUAUAAAAAGAGUCUCUCUCACCUCUGUUCAUCCCAUUCUCCAUUGUUGCUUCAAAGACCAAAACAUUCCUCUUCCUUCUCGCCUCUGCAGAAAACCCAGAAUAAAAAGCAGGGAAAAGCAUCCUCUCCAAAUCUUUGGACGUGGGUUUCAGUUGUUCGAAGCAUCCUUGCGACCCAUCGAAGUUUUGGAUUUUUUCUUGGAUUGUUUGGUCUGUGAAGAAAGAAAGAACCGGAAAUGUCUGUUGAUUUUGCAGGAGCUGCUGUGGGAACAGCAUUCGGCGAGCUGUACUCGCUUGUUAAGGAGGUAGCAAAAACUGUUGCCGCGUUUCAUCCCCAGCUCAAGAAGAUCGAAUCUACCUUGAGUGAGAUGGACCCGAUCAUAAAGAAAAUCUACUAUCUCUACGAACAGCUGGACCGUCUGAAAGAGAUGGAUCCGAUCAAGGAACUAUUGGAUGAAGGCAAAGGACUAGUCAACAAGUGCUUGAUGAUCCACCCAGUCAAUCUGUACAAGAAGUAUACGCACUCGAAUAAGCUGACUGAGUACAACGCAGCUGUCCGUGAGAAGUUCCAGAUUUAUGUGCCGCUGCUAGCCGCUAGGAACGAUGCAGAGAUGUUGAUGAAGAUGGAAGAGAUCAUGGGAAAACUCAGCUCCAUCUACUCCAGUCAAGCAAACGGUGGGGCCCUCCAGACCAUGCUUGAGGCUCUGAACAACCUUUCAGUCCCUGCGGCGCCCAAUUUCAUUGUCGGGUCAGAGGUGGAGGCGUCCUUGAGCAAGCUCAGGGAGCGUUUGCUCAAGGAGGGAGCGUCCGUGAUUGUUUUGACUGGUCCGGGCGGGUGCGGGAAGACCACUCUGCUUAAAAAAUUGUGCCAUGAUGUAGCAAUUGAAGGUAUGUGAUUAUUAUUUUGAUUGAUCCAGAACUAAAAAAAGUAGGAACGACUCUAUUGUAUUGAUCCUCGCCUGUUGGUCUUUUCCAAUAAUCUUUUGGUUAGCCAUUUAUCUGUAUAGGAGCUAUUGACCGAAUAACAUUCCACCUUUGGAAAUAUUUGAAUGAUUGUAUCCCUUACCUGUUCUCUCUGUCAAGCAUUACAGUUUCUGGUUGAUGUGAAUAUCUGCAUAUAAAGAAUUGCUUGGUGGACGUUUCAUCAAGAAGUCUUUUUUCUUACGUCCAAUCUGAUAGAUCUUUCCCAAGCUUUUAGAUAGCAAGAACUGGCCUCUGUUUGAUUGCGCUGGGCACCUUUCUUAAUUAGCUGAACCCUCCUUUUUACAGCCAUAUGCUUCAGGCUUAUUUUUUCUGCUAUAUGGUAUGUACUUAGCUCUGUUUCUUAUCCCACUGAGGCCAUUAAACGAAAAGCGUCACGGCAAAAUUUAGUACUCUUCGCAAGCAAUGACUUACUGUGGUUUCCAUACAGGCAAAUUUAAGGACAACAUCAUGUUCGUCCCUGUCUCAAAGAAGCCCAACCUGACAGACGUUGUCCAGAAAAUGUAUCGACAUAAUGGUUUCAAGGUACCCGAGAUUAAAUCGGAAGAAGAUGCAGUUCAUUGCUUGCAGCAACUGCUCAACAAAAUAGGACAAAAUCCUGUGUUGCUUGUGCUGGACGAUGUGUGGAAAGAAUCGGAAUCCAUUGUUGACAAAUUUGUCUGCGAUGAUAUCAAAGAUUACAAAAUUGUGGUGACAUCAAGAUAUGAGUUUCCUCGUUUUCGACCUGUGCAUCACCUGAACCCACUGACUCAUGACGAAGCGGUGGAACUUUUUCUUCAAUGU